rnacentral:tRNA from 1 species
GCGCUCGUGGCUCAAUUGGAUAGAGCAUCUGACUACGGAUCAGAAGGUUGGGGGUUCGACUCCCUCCGGGCGUG